UCUUCCCUCUGGCGGCGUGCCUAACACAUGCAAGUCGAACGAAGCUUGACGGAUGAUUUCUUCUGAAUGAGACCAGAUAUGACUUAGUGGCGGACGGGUGAGUAACACGUGAGCAACCUGCCUUUCAGAGGGGGAGAACGACUGGAAACGGUCGCUAAUACCGCCUGAGGUGUUCGGAUGGCAUCAUCUGAACAUCAAAGAUUUAUGGCUGAAAGCUGGGCUCGCGUCGGAUUGUGGAGUGGGGGGGGUAACGGCCUACCAAGUCUACGAUCAGUAGCCGGAGUGAGAGGUUGAACGGCCACAUUGGGACUGAGACACGGCCCAGACUCAUACGGGAGGCAGCAGGGGGGAAUAGUGCACAAUGGGGGAAACCCUGAUGCAGCAACGGCGCGUGAAGGAUGACGGUUUUCGGAGUGUAAACUUCUUUUCUUAGUGACGAAGACAGUGACGGUAGCUAAGGAAUAAGCAUCGGCUAACUACGUG
rnacentral:rRNA from 1 species